rnacentral:lncRNA from 1 species
GAAUCCCCUCAAUGAGACACCUACCCUGGAGCCUGGGUCAGAUUAAUGGAAUCCCCUCAAUGAGACACGGAGCCUGGAGACAGUUGUUUGGUAUGGAGGCUCCAGCUACUGUUAACCUGACUGGCUGGAGGAGACAUUUCAACAGCUACACACUACAGGGCCGACGCAACUUUGUCCUGGCUACCUAUGGUGUCCUAGCGUUGUCAGCAGCAGCCUAUAUGAUACACAAACGGAGUAAAGAGGACCCCAGAGUAGCCAGCCCCACUGCCUGACUGACACCCUCUCUCAAUGUUCAAUGUCCAAUGUCCAACGCUUUAUUGACCUGAUAUUCACAUUGUUUUCCAAUACUACCAAAUCAGAGAUUCAUAACAGCAGCGCUCUCUCUCUCUUCCGCUCCCUCCCUCUCUUCCGCUCCCUCCCCUCCCUCUCUCUCUCACUCUCUCCCUCCCUCUUCCGCUCCCUCCCUCUCUCCCUCCCUCUUCCGCUCCCUCCCUCCCCUCCCUCUCUCUCACUCUCACUCUCUCCCUCUCUCUUCCGCUCCCUCCCUCUCUUCCGCUCCCUCCCUCUCACUCUCACUCUCUCCCUCCCUCUUCCGCUCCCUCCCUCUUCCGCUCCCUCCCUCUUCCGCUCCCUCCCUCUUCCGCUCCCUCCCUCUUCCGCUCCCUCCCUCCCCUCCCUCUCUCUCACUCUCACUCUCUCCCUCUCUCUACCGCUCCCUCCCUCUCUUCCGCUCCCUCCCUCUCACUCUCACUCUCUCCCUCCCUCUUCCGCUCCCUCCCUCUUCCGCUCCCUCCCUCUUCCGCUCCCUCCCUCUUCCGCUCCCUCCCUCUUUUCCGCUCCCUCCCUCUCUUCCGCUCCCUCCCUCCCUUUCUCUCUCGCUCUCUCUCUCUCUCGCUCUCUCUCUCAAUGUUAAUAAAUAGAAUUUAAUCCAG